rnacentral:rRNA from 1 species
AUGCGGUGUGUCUUCAGUUCAAGAAAAGUGAUUGUCCUGGAGCAGUAUCGCGGUCGAUGCAAGCUGACGGGUAGCUGUUGUACGGCAAUAUUGGCUGCCACCAUUCUGUGGAUAGCUAGAUGGGGAGAGUUGCUUCUGCGAUGUGAUCAUGGAGCUGCAAGGCUGCACAAUGUUCUUGUUGAUAGCGGAACUCACCUAGUUACGCCCUUUGCAAUCUUUUUGCUUCAAAUUCUUACAGAAGGCAGUCUUGUGCAUAGCUCAAAUUGUUUACGAUCAUGUACCGGCCAAUUUAACUUCUUUGAUGCUCAUAGGAAAUGCCCUGUUUUGCAACUAGCUUAG